ACGUACACUCCUGCGGGAGGCAGCAGUAGGGAAUCUUCCACAAUGGGUGCAAACCUGAUGGAGCAAUGCCGCGUGAGUGAAGAAGGUCUUCGGAUCGUAAAGCUCUGUUGUUAGAGAAGAACACGUGCUAGGUAACUACUAGCGCCUUGACGGUAUCUAACCAGAAAGUCACGGCUAACUACGUGCCAGCAGCCGCGGUAAUACGUAGGUGACAAGCGUUGUCCGGAUUUAUUGGGCGUAAAGGGAGCGCAGGCGGUCUGUUUAGUCUAAUGUGAAAGCCCACGGCUUAACCGUGGAACGGCAUUGGAAACUGACAGACUUGAAUGUAGAAGAGGAAAAUGGAAUUCCAAGUGUAGCGGUGGAAUGCGUAGAUAUUUGGAGGAACACCAGUGGCGAAGGCGAUUUUCUGGUCUAACAUUGACGCUGAGGCUCGAAAGCGUGGGGAGCGAACAGGAUUAGAUACCCGUGUAGUCC
rnacentral:rRNA from 1 species